rnacentral:lncRNA from 1 species
UUAUAGCAAUUUUAAAAUUGUAUGGAAAUGUUCUGCAUAAUUGUUUUGUCUAGGUUACAGAUGGCUCUAGGAUAAAGGACAAAUGUACCUCUAAAGCCGAGCUUACCAAUGUAUAUCUGGUGUUCAGAAUUUAAAUGAGUUUUGCAAUCUGCAGUGCCAGAAUUUCCAGAGCCUUCUUGCUCAGAUGCCAUCUUUUUGUAUGCCAUUUCGAAGAGUUUCAGUGAUGCCUGCUGAAGAGAGGAUGCUGCUUGUCCAAUGUUUUCUCCCAUUUCGCUAUCUUUUCUAGCCAGAAGCCCCUUCAUUUUGGAAAUCUCUUCUUUUAGCUUUUGCACUUAUCAGCAGUGUGGUGAGGAGAAAGGAAGUGCCAGAUUUAUCCCAUGA